rnacentral:rRNA from 1 species
UACGGGGGAGCAAGCGUUGUUCGGAUUUACUGGGCGUAAAGGGCGCGUAGGCGGUCAGCACAAGUCAGUUGUGAAAUCUCCGGGGCUUAACCUCGGAAAGGUCAACUGAUAACUGUGCGACUAGAGUGCGGGAAGGGGCAACUGGAAUUCUCGGUGUAGCGGUGAAAUUCGUAGAUAUCGAGAGGAACACCGGUGGCGAAGGCGGCCAACUGGACGAAUACUGACGCUGAGACACGAAAGCGUGGGGAGCAAACAGG